GGUUAUAGCCAAAAAAAGCAUCCAUGAAGGAUAGGAGCUCAUGGCCCGACAUGACGUCGAUCAACUGAUCAAUCUUCGGUAGAGGAUAGCUGUCUUUCGGACAUGCCUUAUUCAAAUCGGUGAAGUCGAUGCAGAUUCAUUAUUUUUCGUUCGCUUUCUUCACCUUGACCACAUUGGCUAUCCACUCGGGAUAGGUCGUCUCCUUGAUGAAAUCUAUCUGGAGUUGCUUGUCCACUUCUUUGGCUCUUUCUACUGCUCUGGUACAAAACUCCUCUUAUUUUGCUUAAAGGAGAGGUGAUUUGGGCUCACAUUCAGUCGAUGCAUAAUCACUGAGGAAUCAAUUUUUGACAUAUCUACUGGCAUCCAAGCGAAGACAUCCGAGUUUGCUUGCAAAAAAGAGGUUAGUUGAUCUUUCAUUACCUGAUCCAAGUUUGAUCCGAUCUGAAUUGUGUGCCCCUGAUUUUCAUCUGCCAA
rnacentral:lncRNA from 1 species